rnacentral:rRNA from 1 species
AUUGAACUCUGGCGGCAGGCCUAACACAUGCAAGUCGAACGAGUGGCGGACGGGUGAGUAAUGUCUGGGAAACUGCCUGAUGGAGGGGGCUCACUACUUGAAACGGUAGCUAAUACCGCAUACCCUCAGAUGUGCCCAUAGGGGAGUGGCUUGUUGUGUGGGUAACGGCUCCCCAAGGCGACGAUCCCUAGCUGGUCUGAGAGGAUGACCGGCAACACGGGAACUGAGAAACGGUCCAGACUCAUACGUGAGGCAGCAGUGGGGAAUAUUGCACAAUGGGCGCAAGCCUGAUGCAGCCAUGCCGCGUGUAUGAAGAAGGCCUUCGGGGUGUAAAGUACUUUCAGCGGGGAGGCGUUACCAGCAGAAGAAGCACCGGCUAACUCCGUGCCAGCAGCCGCGGUAAUUC